CCAUGGCAUAUGGAGGUUCCCAGGCUAGGGGUCCAAUUGGAGCUGUAACUGCCCCUACGCCAGAGCCACAGCAACGCGGGAUCCGAGCUACAUCUGCAACCUACACCACAGCUCAUGGCAACACUGGAUCCUUAACCCACUGAGCAAGGCCAGGGAUCGAACCCACAAGCUCAUGGUUCCUAGUUGGAUUCGCUAACCACUGAGCAACGAUGGGAACUCCUUCCUUUUACUUUUUUUAUGAUAAGGUUUACAAUACAAAGGUUUUUAAUUUUGUGAAGUUCGAUGUAUCUGUUUUCCUUUUUUGUCACUUAUAAUUUUGGUGUCAUAUCUAAGAUUAUGGUUAGUAAACAACUUAUACCAGUCACUGGUAUAAGCCCUGGGGUACCUCUAUAAUCAAAAAAGAAAUGGUUUCUGUUUUCAUUUAGGUUAAGCUUAGUAGAAGAGCCAGGAAUUUAUUCAAAUUAAAAGACAAGUAUGUAAUUGCAAAUUAGUUAGUAUUGUGAUGGAAAAAAAGAGAGAGCUAUGAAGAAAUAUAACAGAGGAGCAACUGUAUGUGUGUGUGUUUUGAGAAGAAGUCAUUAAAGAAAGUUUGCUGGUGAAGUAAUCUUUGGAUUGAGACCUGCAAGUCUUCUUUUUUUGUCUUUUCUAGGGCUGCACCAGUGGCAUAUGGAAGUUCCCAGGCUAGGGGGUCUAAUCGGAGCUGUAGUUGCCGGCCUACGCCAGAGCCACAGCAACGCCAGCUCACAGCAACAGUGGAUCCUUAACCCACUGAGCAAAGCCAGGGAUCGAACUUGAAACCUCAUGGUUCCUAGUCGAAUUCAUUAACCACCGAGCCACGACAGGAACUCCCCCAAGACCUUUAAGUCUUAAAAGAGAAAAAGACAAUGGAGGAAGCUCUCUAUGCAGAAAGGACCCAAGGAUCUUAGUUGCUUAGAGGAAUUGAUUAUGGAGAGUGUUGAGUUGCUGAGAGAGUUGGGCUAAGAAGAUCAUCAAAUAAGACUAUAGAAGUAAGCAGGGAUAAUAGGAUGCAGUCUUGUAGAUCAUGUUAAGAACUUUAAUAUUUUCCCUAAAAGUGAUUGAGAAUGAUUAGAGGAUUAAUCGUGAUGGCUGCAGUACAGAUAAGAGAUAAUGAAGAAAAUAAGUAGCAGUCAGGUGACCAGUUAGAUAGAAAAUGCAAUUACUUAGUCAAGAGAUGACAGCAGCAUGGAAUACAGUUAUAGCAGUAGAGGCAAAGAGAAUUAAAGAAAUUAGAAAUUUACUUAGAAAAAUGAAUCAGGCUUGGCCUUGGAUAGCAUAUGUGAGAGACAAAUGACUGAUUGCUCCCUUUGUCCUGGAAAGAAUAAGAUGUCCUCUGAGUCCUGAGUCUUCCAGGUAGCUUAUCUGGUUCCCAAAUAUUUAAAACACAGUAAAACUGAGUACCUGAACUCCUUGCUUUGUUUUGCUUCCAGACCUAAUCUCAUUAACUGCUGACUUCUGGUAUUUUUUCACCUAUCUGCAGACUCUAUUUUACUCUUCAGACACAAUACUUGAUACAGGCUCCCAAGUAUUAAUACUACUUCCACUUCUUUGUUAGGUUCUGUGCAUUUAACUCUGUAGAUUAUUGUCCUUCUGAUGAUCAUGGGUACAACCUCUCCAAUCAAGUUCCAUCUUCCAGAACCUUGUAAGGUACUAGAUUAUGUGGCUGACGCUCUUACAGGCAGGACUCUAAAAUGUAGAAUAGAUGAGGGGCAUUUUUCACUCUGGCCGCUGAAAAGUAAUUUCAAAUAGAGAUCAGCAAGGCCUAUAAUUGACAAAUACUUUCUAGAACGGAGAUGCUCCCACAGUAGGAAUAUCCUCCAAGUUCAUAAUACCUCCUCACCCUCCAUUCUUCUAAUCAGACCAUCCAUUCAGCACACCCUCUGCAGAAUGCAAUGAGAUACUUCAUGUCUACUUCAGAUAUGAAAAUUGAUGAAUUUCUUCGUAAAUGUUGAAGCUUUAGGGCACAUGAUAUAUAAUUACCCUCUACUAUAAUUUCCUAUAUUACAGCUCUGAAGUUUGCAAUGCAUAUCCCUAUAAUUACUUCUAUAUGUAAUUACAUUUACAUAAUACUUACAUGAUUUUAUUUACAUAAUAGCUAAGGUGAUGAUUCAUUUUUCAAAAACUUUUAAGUUGCCCCUAAACAGGACACAAUGAAGCUAGAUUUAUUUCUACAUUAAAUGCUAAAGAAAAUAAUUUAUGUAUAAUAUAAAUUAUAUAUGCAUUAUAUAUAAAAACAUAUAUGUAUAUGCAUAUUAGCUUGUCAUAAUUAGGGGUAAAUAUAUGAAAAUUUGGGGUUUGAUAUUGAAAAAGAUGUAAGUAGAGUGAAAAAUAAAAAAAGGCAUACUCAUGUCAGAGUGACAAAUAAUUAUUUCCAUAUAACAUCAAAGGACAAGCAUAUGACAUCUUAACUAUAAUCCACAUCAAAACACUCCAUAAUGAUAAUGAAAAUUGAAUGCAUGGAUUUCGCCCUGGAGUUGUAGGUAUUCAACUUUAGGUCUGUGUGAAGCCCAGCAGGUUUCAAUUCAUGACAGGAAUAUUUAAAGCUUUGCAGUUGACCACAACGGAGUUCAAAUCCUAGUUCUGCAACUUCCAGCUGAAGGAUCUUACACAAGUUAUUCAGUCUCCCGGAGUCUAAUUUUAUCAUUAAAAUUCAGAUAAUAACAUGUAUUUCAUAGUGGAUCAAAUAUGAUAAGUACUAGAAAUCAAAGAGUGCUUGGUAUAUGGCAGGUGAUGAGUGAAUUUUAGUUUCAAUUUUUUUUACAGAAUUUCGCAUAUCUUCAUUGUGGGUUUUGCCCAUUGGUAGGUAAGCCAUAUAAUUAAAAUUAUUUUGCAGAUGGAGCUAAUUCCCAAAGAAUUUAUUUAAUAGAGGUUUUUAAGCUUUAAUAAAUGUCACAAUUCCCUGGAGAGCUUGUUAAUCCUUAAAUUGCUGGGCCCCACCACCAGAAUUUUUGAUUCACUUGGGUUGGAUAGGCCCAAUAAUUUAUAUUUCUAAAUAUGUUAUGCUAAUGCUGCCGAUUGGAGACCACACUGAAAACCACUGCUAUUAAACAUGUGAAACCACCAAAAUGAGAUGACUGGCAAAAAGAAAGGGAAGGCCACUUUUCCCACAGUCACAUCUGCUGUCCUAACUUUUAAACAUACUUUGCAGAAGUGCCACCAUGACCCAAUAGAGGACAGUCCGUCCAGCCAGACCUGUUCUCCUUACUGCGCUACCUGGAACCUGUCACUUCACUGCUCUUGGAUUUGGCUUAUCCAUCCUAAAACUUAAAAACGGCUGGAGUAGGUGGGUGUGUCUUACAUUGUGUCCUCUCUGUGCCAGGGUAGGGGUGGGGACUUCAGAGCACACUCAGGGAUGGUGUUAGUGGCGGCGUUGAGCAGAUAAGAAUCUGAACCUCUUCCAUUUCCAGAGAGAGGAGCCCUCCAUGUACAACUUUUAUAUGCAGUGAAGUUCCACAUAAAGAACCAAAGCAAAUCAAACAAAACCAAUGCAAACAAACAU
rnacentral:lncRNA from 1 species